CAGGACGAACGCUGGCGGCGUGCCUAAUACCUGCAAGUCGAGCGGACAGAUGGGAGCUUGCUUCCCUGAUGUUAGCGGCGGACGGGUGAGUAACACGUGGGUAACCUGCCUGUAAGACUGGGAUAAUUCCGGGAAACCGGGGCUAAUACCGGAUGGUUGUUUGAACCGCAUGGUUCAGACAUAAAAGGUGGCUUCGGCUACCACUUACAGAUGGACCCGCGGCGCAUUAGCUAGUUGGUGAGGUAACGGCUCACCAAGGCGACGAUGCGUAGCCGACCUGAGAGGGUGAUCGGCCACACUGGGACUGAGACACGGCCCAGACUCCUACGGGAGGCAGCAGUAGGGAAUCUUCCGCAAUGGACGAAAGUCUGACGGAGCAACGCCGCGUGAGUGAUGAAGGUUUUCGGAUCGUAAAGCUCUGUUGUUAGGGAAGAACAAGUGCCGUUCAAAUAGGGCGGCACCUUGACGGUACCUAACCAGAAAGCCACGGCUAACUACGUGCCAGCAGCCGCGGUAAUACGUAGGUGGCAAGCGUUGUCCGGAAUUAUUGGGCGUAAAGGGCUCGCAGGCGGUUUCUUAAGUCUGAUGUGAAAGCCCCCGGCUCAACCGGGGAGGGUCAUUGGAAACUGGGGAACUUGAGUGCAGAAGAGGAGAGUGGAAUUCCACGUGUAGCGGUGAAAUGCGUAGAGAUGUGGAGGAACACCAGUGGCGAAGGCGACUCUCUGGUCUGUAACUGACGCUGAGGAGCGAAAGCGUGGGGAGCGAACAGGAUUAGAUACCCUGGUAGUCCACGCCGUAAACGAUGAGUGCUAAGUGUUAGGGGGUUUCCGCCCCUUAGUGCUGCAGCUAACGCAUUAAGCACUCCCGUCUG
rnacentral:rRNA from 1 species